GUGAAUGUCGGCCGUAACUAUAACGGUCCUAAGGUAGCGAAAUUCCUUGUCGGGUAAGUUCCGACCUGCACGAAUCGUGCAACGAGUUGGCCGCUGUCUCGACCAGGAGCUCAGUGAAAUUGUAACACCGGUGAAGAUGCCGGUUACCCGCAGAAGGACGGAAAGACCCUAUGCACCUUAACUGUACGCUGUUAUUGGUUUUUCGAUUUUAAUGCUCAGCAUAAGUGGGAGGCUUUGAAGUGGUCCUUUAGGGGAUCGCGGAGCCAUCAGUGAGAUACCACCCUUUGACAUUGGAGAAUCUAACCUCGAGCCAUUAGCUGGACGAGGGACCAUGGCAGCCGGUCAGUUUUACUGGGGCGGUAUCCUCCUAAAGAGUAACGGAGGAGCGCGAAGUUUGGCUCAGCACGGUUGGUAACCGUGUGUCGAGUGUAAAGGCACAAGCCAGACUAACUGUGAGACCUACAAGUCGAGCAGAUACGAAAGUAGGCCUUAGUGAUCCGGCGGUUGAAUGUGGAAUUGCCGUCGCUCAACGGAUAAAAGGUACCCUAGGGAUAACAGGCUGAUCGCGCCCAAGAGUUCAUAUCGACGGCGCGGUUUGGCACCUCGAUGUCGGCUCGUCGCAUCCUGGGGCUGGAGAAGGUCCCAAGGGUCCGGCUGUUCGCCGGUUAAAGCGGCACGCGAGCUGGGUUCAGAACGUCGCGAGACAGUUCGGUCCUCUAUCCUCUGUGGGCGUAGGAGAAUUGAAGGGUUCACUUCCUAGUACGAGAGGACCGGAAGUGACGCACCUCUGGUGUUCCAGUUGUUCUGUCAAGGGCAUGGCUGGGUAGCUAAGUGCGGACGAGAUAAGCGCUGAAAGCAUCUAAGCGCCAAGCUCUUCCUAAGAUGAGUUCUCCCUGAGGAUCGUGGAAGACCACCACGUUGAUAGGCUGGCGGUGUAAGUGCAGCAAUGUAUUCAGCUCACCAGUACUAAUCAUCCGAUAGACUUGAUUCC
rnacentral:rRNA from 1 species